UUUUCGAGGUGCGUCGAAAAAUGCCCUAUAUAUUUCAUUUUGUGUUCAUAGAACAUAGAACAUAAACGCAAAGGAAAAGAGGAAGAGGCAGAGAUUGUCGUUCAUCAUCCGUUGUACACCAUCCGCCCUACGUCAUCGUCUCUGCCACAGUUCUUCGCCGCCCACCCUCCUCCCUCACCGUCCUAUUUAUCCGCUACCGUUCCUAAUCAAGGUAGCUUUUAAUGAAGUAUGUUAGAAGUUUUAGGUAGUUUUAAACUUAACUUGAAAGUUGGGAGGAGGAGCGGGACCGAAAAAUGUCAAACCGGACCGACAAAUGGAAGCGACUGCUUGAAAAAUGAAAAAAAAAAUGUACGACAAAUGGAAGAGAUGAGGAAGAUAAUCGAGGAGAUGAGUCGAGCACAGAGAGGACCAUGAACAUGCUUGGGCCCAAGAGGAAAUAAGCUAAGUCUACACACCAAGGAACUACCCUAAGGCUGUAGAGAUCGAUCUCCCGGUGCUUGAUAGACUGCCUUAGUUUACUAAGGCUCUCAUAUCGAUUGCCAGUAUGUGGUUGAAGUUGCACAUAAAGUAUGGUUUGUUAUGUUGUAUAUGUCUUUGUAAGAUAUAGAUACUCUAUAAUUUGUGCAAGCUCUAAGUCUUGCAAUUGUAUAAACCUUUGUUGGUUAUUUUUUUGGUUAUAGUGUCUCCAUCGGGUUUACUUGCUAAAUCAGUUAUUUUAGGGCUUCAUUUCGUGUAUGUCUAUGAUUUGUCUAGGUUUCGUUGUGUUGUGUUGCAUCUAAAAUAGUUUAUAUACAAGAUUAGCAUGUUUAUCAAGUUCAAGAGUUCAGUAGAGUCAAUCGAUAUUGUUAGAGGAGAGCGAUGUCAAUCAGCUUUACGCCGUCUUUUGUGCUAAGCUAGUAGGUAGUUUGG